rnacentral:lncRNA from 1 species
UGCGUUUCCCACUCGAUGGGCGAGCUCGAUUUUGAUUUGAAAAAUUGAUUUAAUUGGUUAAAAAGAAAUGACUUGGAGUCGCCACUUAUUUUUGUUUUAUUUUUAAAGGGUAAACAAAAUAAGAAAGAAAAACCCUAAGUGCGACUCCUUAUUUUGGAAAAGGUGAUCUACGAAAAACCGGAUCGGGCUCGGGGGUCAGGUUACUUGUCGGGAAGGUACGGUAAAAUACCAUAGCACCCCUCUAAGUCCCUAAAGUUGGGUCUCUACUAAUAAAAUGAAGCAAUCAUGGCAAUUGAUGAGGAAAUCAAUGAAUACACAAAGUGAUCAUGCACACGUGAGAAUCUAAACAUGCAUACCGAAAAUGACCAGAGCGGAUGUGGAUGCGUACCUGGGCAGUGAUCCAUGAAGCGCUAUCAAAAAGUGAGGUUAGUGCACAAUUAAGGAAUAAUUUUGAGCAUGUCAUAGAGCAGGAUAAAUCAACCAUGUAUCAUAAUCCAAUCGAUCUAUCUGUUAAUCGAUCGAUCAGUCACAUAUGUGGGGCUCCCACCAAAACCCGUUUAUUUUGCAUGAAUUAAUCCCACAAAGUCCAUUAAUCUGGAAUUAUGAAAAUUACAUUCAUGCUUAUUAAAAUCAAGAGGAGCAGAAGAUUGUUUGAAAACCAGAGUGGAAUUAAAACUAUUUGAGAGAAAAUUGGAUUUUUAAAAUUUAUUUGAAAAAUUGGAGUCUCGAAGAUCACUUGAAAAUCGGAGUUUUGAAAAUUAAAUUUAAGCAUCAAAAUUUUGGAUAUUAAAUUUAUAAGAAAUUUGAUUUUGG